UGAGGAAUAUUGGUCAAUGGGCGAGAGCCUGAACCAGCCAAGUAGCGUGCAGGAUGACGGCCCUCCGGGUUGUAAACUGCUUUUAGUUGGGAAUAAAAAAAAGGACUUGUCCCUUCUUGUAUGUACCUUCAGAAAAAGGACCGGCUAAUUCCGUGCCAGCAGCCGCGGUAAUACGGAAGGUCCAGGCGUUAUCCGGAUUUAUUGGGUUUAAAGGGAGUGUAGGCGGAUUGUUAAGUCAGCGGUUAAAGGGUGUGGCUCAACCAUGCAUUGCCGUUGAAACUGGCGAUCUUGAGUGCAGACAGGGAUGCCGGAAUUCGUGGUGUAGCGGUGAAAUGCUUAGAUAUCACGAAGAACUCCGAUCGCGAAGGCAGGUGUCCGGGCUGCAACUGACGCUGAGGCUCGAAAGUGUGGGUAUCAAACAGG
rnacentral:rRNA from 1 species